rnacentral:rRNA from 1 species
CCUACGGGCGGCAGCAGUGGGGAAUAUUGCACAAUGGGGGAAACCCUGAUGCAGCAACGCCGCGUGAGUGAUGAAGGCCUUCGGGUCGUAAAGCUCUGUCUUCAGGGACGAUAAUGACGGUACCUGAGGAGGAAGCCACGGCUAACUACGUGCCAGCAGCCGCGGUAAUACGUAGGGGGCGAGCGUUAUCCGGAUUUACUGGGCGUAAAGGGAGCGGAGGCGGUUAUUCAAGUCAGGAGUGAAAGUCUCGGGCCUAACCUGAGCACUGAUUUUGAAACUGCGAGGCUAGAGUGCAGGAGAGGCAGGGGGAAUUCCGGGUGUAGCGGUGAAAUGCGUAGAUAGCAGGAAGAACACCGGUGGCGAAGGCGG